rnacentral:misc_RNA from 1 species
GCAAUCGUGCUGGAAAACGCUCAAAACUAAUCACAAUACGGCAACAUUGUCACACAAAUUAUUCGCAUUGUCCGUCGUCGUCGUUUUUACACGCUGCUUUUUUCUGGAAUCGGAAAUAGCUCCAGUUCCAGCCCCGGCACCAGAUCCAGAUCCAGAUCGGCAGCCGCCGUUCCGUUCCUCGCCGUCAUUACAGCAAGAAGAAGACGCCUAAGAAGAAGAACCGCAAGCCGUAGCCUCUCGCACAGUCGCACCAACUCGAAAUCCCCCCAACAUCCAUACGAUCCGUAGACAGCUUAGCUCAGCUCAGCCAGAGGAGGAAGCGGAGAAGCUACCAAGAUUAACGCGGACACAGCUGCCGAGCGACGCAGACGCGAACGCCGCUUCUACUACAAAGCGAUGGCGAUGGCGACGAUACUGACGUCGGACGAGGCGAGCAAACUGCUCGACUUCACGCAGAAGCUUGACAUCAACCUGUUGGACAAGAUCGUGGAGGUUGUGUACACGGCGCAGGGCGAGCAACUGCGUCUCGCUCAGGACAUACUCACUACACUAAAGGAGCAUCCGGAGGCGUGGACGAGGGUUGACAGUAUACUGGAGUACUCACAGAACCAGCAGACAAAGUUCUAUGCCCUUCAAAUCCUCGAGGAGGUAAUCAAAACCCGCUGGAAGGUGCUGCCGCGCAACCAGUGCGAGGGUAUCAAGAAGUAUGUGGUCAGCCUGAUCAUUAAGACCUCCUCCGAUCCGAAUGUCAUGGAGCAGAACAAGGUGUAUUUGAACAAAUUGAAUAUUAUUUUGGUGCAGAUCCUGAAGCGUGAAUGGCCCCGCAACUGGGAGACCUUUAUCAGCGACAUUGUCGGUGCGUCAAAGACGAACGAGAGUCUCUGCAUGAACAACAUGGUCAUCCUGAAGAACCUUAGCGAGGAAGUGUUUGACUUUUCCCAGGGCCAGAUCACGCAAACAAAGGCUAAGCACCUGAAGGACACCAUGUGCUCGGAGUUCUCACAGAUCUUUACGCUCUGUUCCUUUGUGCUGGAGAACUCGAUGAACGCAGCCCUCAUCCAUGUGACACUGGAGACGCUAUUGCGCUUCCUUAACUGGAUACCACUUGGCUACAUCUUCGAGACGACGCUGAUCGAGACGCUGAUUUUCAAGUUCCUCAGCGUGCCCAUGUUCAGGAACGUGACCCUGAAGUGCCUGUCGGAGAUUGCCGGCCUGACGGCAACCAAUUAUGACGAGAACUUCGCCACGCUCUUCAAGGAUACGAUGGUGCAGCUGGACCAGAUCGUCGGCCCAAAUAUGAACAUGAAUCAUGUAUUUAAGCACGGCAGUGACACGGAACAGGAGCUGGUUCUCAACCUGGCCAUGUUUCUGUGCACCUUCUUGAAGGAGCAUGGCAAGCUGGUGGAGGACGCCAAGUACGUGGACUAUCUGAACCAGGCGCUCAUGUAUCUGGUGAUGAUUAGCGAGGUGGAGGACGUCGAGGUAUUCAAGAUCUGUCUAGAGUACUGGAACAGUCUGGUUGAGGAUCUCUACAACUCGGAGUUCUUCCAUCCGACGCUAGAGUCAUCGAAGAGGCAACAAGUCUAUCCGCGUCGCCGCUUCUAUGCGCCAAUUCUUUCCAAGGUGCGCUUCAUUAUGAUCUCGCGCAUGGCCAAGCCGGAGGAGGUGCUGGUGGUGGAGAAUGAGAACGGGGAGGUUGUCCGUGAAUUUAUGAAGGACACGAACUCGAUCAAUCUUUACAAGAACAUGCGCGAGACGCUUGUUUUUCUCACUCAUUUGGACUCGGUGGACACGGACCGCAUCAUGACAUUGAAACUGCUGAAUCAGGUGAACGGAUCAGAGUUCUCCUGGAAGAACCUCAAUACGUUGUGCUGGGCUAUAGGUUCUAUAUCCGGUGCUUUCUGUGAGGAGGAUGAGAAACGGUUUCUGGUCACCGUCAUCAAGGAUUUGUUGGGCUUAUGUGAACAAAAGAAGGGCAAGGACAACAAGGCUAUUAUUGCCUCCAAUAUCAUGUAUGUGGUGGGACAGUAUCCGCGCUUCCUGCGCGCCCACUGGAAAUUCCUCAAGACGGUGGUGAACAAACUCUUCGAAUUUAUGCACGAGACGCACGACGGUGUCCAGGACAUGGCCUGCGACACCUUCAUUAAAAUUGCCAUCAAGUGCCGCCGCUACUUUGUCACCAUUCAGCCCAACGAGGCAUGCACUUUCAUCGAUGAGAUCCUCACCACAAUGAGCAGCAUCAUCUGUGAUCUGCAGCCACAGCAGGUUCAUACAUUCUAUGAGGCUGUUGGAUAUAUGAUUUCCGCGCAGGUAUACCAGGUGGAGCAGGACGCCCUCAUCGAGAGGUAUAUGCAGCUGCCGAACCAGGUGUGGGACGACAUCAUAUCGCGCGCCUCAAAGAACGUUGAUUUUCUGAAAAACAUGACAGCAGUGAAGCAGCUGGGCAGCAUCCUCAAGACGAACGUGGCGGCCUGCAAGGCACUGGGCCAUGCAUACGUCAUUCAGUUGGGUCGCAUCUACUUGGACAUGUUGAAUGUGUACAAGAUCACAUCGGAGAACAUCAUCCAGGCGAUUGAAGUGAAUGGCGUUAAUGUCAACAAUCAGCCCCUGAUCAAAACCAUGCACGUGGUCAAGAAGGAGACACUCAACUUGAUAUCCGAGUGGGUGUCGCGAUCCAAUGACAAUCAGUUGGUGAUGGAUAACUUUAUACCGCCCUUGCUGGACGCUAUAUUGCUUGACUAUCAGCGCUGUAAAGUACCAUCGGCAAGAGAGCCCAAGGUCCUGAGUACGAUGGCCACCAUUGUGUAUAAAUUGCGUCAGCAUAUCACCAAUGAGGUACCAAAAAUUUUCGACGCCGUCUUCGAGUGCACGCUGGACAUGAUCAACAAGAACUUCGAGGACUUCCCCCAGCAUCGGCUUAGCUUCUAUGAGCUGCUGCAGGCGGUGAAUGCGCACUGCUUCAAGGCGUUCCUGAAUAUACCGCCGGCCCAGUUCAAACUGGUCUUUGACUCGGUGGUCUGGGCCUUUAAGCACACUAUGCGUAAUGUUGCCGACAUGGGAUUGAAUAUCCUGUUUAAGAUGCUGCAGAAUCUGGAACAGCAUCCGGAUGCGGCGCAAAGCUUCUAUCAAACAUACUUUACGGACAUUCUGAUGCAAAUUUUCUCUGUGGUCACCGACACCUCGCACACAGCUGGGCUGCCGAACCAUGCCAUUAUUUUGGCGUAUAUGUUCUCGCUGGUGGAGAAUAGAAAGAUAACGGUUGACCUUGGUCCGAUACCGGAUAAUAUGAUAUUUAUUCAGGAGUAUGUAGCGUCCCUGCUGAAAUCGGCCUUCAAUCAUCUGUCUGAUAAUCAGAUAAAAGUCUUUGUUACUGGUCUAUUUAAUUUGGACGAGAAUGUGCAAGCAUUUAAGGAGCAUUUGAGAGAUUUUCUCAUACAAAUUCGCGAGGCCACCGGUGAGGACGAUUCAGAUCUGUAUCUGGAGGAGCGUGAAGCGGCCUUGGCUGAGGAGCAGUCGAACAAGCAUCAGAUGCAGCGCCAGAUUCCAGGCAUGUUAAAUCCGCACGAACUGCCAGAGGAUAUGCAGGACGAGUAAAGGACAGUGAAGUCGACCCCGAAUGUCCCCCGAGUGAUGCUUGAGAAUAAUGAUUAUGAUAGGAGGAUGGUGAUGAUGUAUGAGUGUUUCUCAAGCGAGAGAGUAUAAAUGUUUGUUUGAUUGAAUGCAUAUAAACAUUAACAGAUCAAGAUCAGCAGAAGUAAGAAGUAAAGCGUAUGCAGAGCUGUUUGCAUAUAAUAUUUAGCAUUAACACUGAGGAUGAUGAAGAUGAACAGAGAUGAGAUGAAAAUAAGGAGAUGAACAACAAAACACUGCAUCAUCAUUAUCCAGGAUCAAGUGUCCUGUACUCUGUGCAACAAACAAAAAAAUAAGCAAAAAACAUUAAAAAAAAAACAAAAAUGAAAAAUAGAACUAAAAUGCAAAUACCCAGAACACACAGAUACAACAACAACAACAAAAAAAAAACAAAAAUAACCCUAAAAUUGCGUAUUAAUGAUGAUGUUUAAAUUUUUACAUAAUUAGUUUGUACAUUAAUUUAAAUAAAAAUCAAUUAAAACUACAUUGAUGUAUGAUGCAUAA